rfam:Caldisalinibacter kiritimatiensis strain L21-TH-D2 NODE_39, whole genome shotgun sequence.
UGAUCCUUUAAAUUGACCCAGAGAGGUUGGUAAGGAUUAAGGCAAAACUUUUAAUAAUGUUUUAGUAUAUUAAUAUUGUAUAUAAAGAUUAAAAUGCCUUCUUAUCAACCGAUAAGAAGGCAUUUUUUAAU